rnacentral:rRNA from 1 species
ACAAGCGGUGGAGCAUGUGUUAAUUCGAAGCAACGCGCAGAACCUUACCAACCCUUGACAUCGAGAUCGCGGUUUCCAGAGAUGGAUUCCUUCAGUUCGGCUGGAUCUUAGACAGGUGUUGCAUGGCUGUCGUCAGCUCGUGUCGUGAGAUGUUGGGUUAAGUCCCGCAACGAGCGCAACCCUCGCCUUUAGUUGCCAUCAUUAAGUUGGGCACUCUAGAGGGACUGCCGGUGAUAAGCCGGAGGAAGGUGGGGAUGACGUCAAGUCCUCAUGGCCCUUAUGGGUUGGGCUACACACGUGCUACAAUGGCCGGUACAGACGGAGGCGAAGCCGCGAGGCGGAGCAAAUCCGAAAAAGCCGGUCUCAGUUCGGAUUGCAGGCUGCAAUUCGCCUGCAUGAAGUCGGAAUCGCUAGUAAUCGCAGGUCAGCAUACUGCGGUGAAUACGUUCCCGGGCCUU